UACGAAGGGGGCUGAGCAGUUGCUCGGAAUCACUGGGCGUAAAGGGCGCGUAGGCGGCUAGUUAGUCAGGCGUGAAAUUCCUGGGCUCAACCUGGGGACUGCGCUUGAAUACGGCUAGGCUAGAGGAUGGAAGAGGGUCGCGGAAUUCCCAGUGUAGAGGUAGAAAUUCGUAGAUAUUGGGAAGAACACCGGUGGCGAAGGCGGCGACCUGGUCCAUUACUGACGCUGAGGCGCGACAGCGGUGGGGAGCAAACAGG
rnacentral:rRNA from 1 species